UCAAGGCAAGGAGUGGGAUUUGCAGGACUCCUUCUCCUCCCUUCGGUGUGGCCUUUCCCCGCAGGGAUUGUGCUGCGACCUUAUUCACGAAGCAUCCAGACCCCAGACCGAAGCACCGAGCGGAGAAGAAGCUGCCUCAUCCUGUUCUUACCUGAGUGCCCUAAGGUGACUAAACCUACUUGGGGCCUAUCACCAGAAGAGAGGACUCACUGGGAAAGACUCGAAGCUCUGGCUACUGAUGUAAAUCCAAGGUUCAUAAAAGGGAGGUAUCUAAGUUACCACUGGCCUGUUGCUGUUAUCACAUCUGCAGCUGGAUAUGAUUGAAAACAGAACAUUGCUGGGUGAAAGUUCUCUAUUGCAAACAUCUGUGACUGAACAAGGAUUUUUGUUUCCAUGUCCUGGAAGAUCAAGGGGAUUUCUUCCUUCUCCAGAUGCACACCUUCAGUCAGGCAAUGUGGUGGUAACAAAACUAAUAAAAACUCUGCCAGAAACAUCUGUAUUUGUCAUCAUCAUCCUUGUUGUUGUUCUACAACACCAGCACCAAGUUUUUGUU